rnacentral:rRNA from 1 species
CGGGUGAGUAACACGUGAGUAAUCCACCCUCGGUACCGGAAUAGCCCGGGGAAACCCGGAUUAAUGCCGGAUGGCCCAUUCGCCCUUCGGGGAUGAAUGGAAAAGAUAGCUUCGGCCUUCGACCGAGGACGAGCUCGCGGCGGAUUAGCUUGUUGGCGGGGUAACGGCCCACCAAGGCGACGAUCCGUAGCUGGUCUGAGAGGACGAUCAGCCACACUGGGACUGAGACACGGCCCAGACUCCUACGGGAGGCAGCAGUGGGGAAUCUUGCGCAAUGGGCGAAAGCCUGACGCAGCGACGCCGCGUGAGGGAAGAAGGCCUUCGGGUUGUAAACCUCUUUCAGGAGGGACGAAGCCACUCGGGUGAAUAGCCCAGAGGGUGACGGUACCUCCAGAAGAAGCCCCGGCUAACUACGUGCCAGCAGCCGCGGUAAUACGUAGGGGGCAAGCGUUGUCCGGAUUUAUUGGGCGUAAAGAGCGUGUAGGCGGCUUCACAGGUCCGCUGUGAAAACUCGAGGCUCAACCUCGAGCUGUCGGUGGAAACCGUGUGGCUAGAGUCCGGAAGAGGAGAGUGGAAUUCCCGGUGUAGCGGUGAAAUGCGCAGAUAUCGGGAAGAAC